rnacentral:lncRNA from 10 species
AACAUUUUACUCAUGGACAUGAGAUGGUAAAACAAGAUGAAAAUGAUUCUUUUAUUGGGCAUUCAAUUAAAAAAUGUCAUGACUUUGCCAUUAGUUUGUAUAAAUCCUAGAAAUGAGUUUCAACGAGAGUGUGUUAUUAUGUUGGGAAAGAGACGGAAGUGUAUAACCUUGGGCAGAUCGUUUAACUUCUCUCUGCUUUACAGUUACAAGCGGUAAUACAAAGAGACAGGAUUAUAUGAUCUCCAAGGUCCCAUCCAGCCCAUUUAACACGGCAUUGUGGCUCUGGAGACCUGGAAGCACUGCUAACUGUUCUCUCGAUUUUCUGACGCUCGGCCACAUCAACCUGUCAUACUAGUUGUGAGGAGAAGUCAAGGACAGUGACACAGCCAGCCAGUCUGAGGCAUUUUCCAUCAUCCUGAAGGAGUUGCCCUAUCCUGCUUUUCACUGGAGGGGGCAUGGAUGGGGAUCCUGGAUGACAAAGCAGUCACCUACUUGAACACUGCUAAUUAUGAAGUCAGAAAGAGGAAAGUUUGCAGAGUUUUGUAUUGGCAAUCAAACAUUCAGCCACAGGUCACAGUCUAGAACCAGACACAUCAGUGUCCUCAACUGCAAAGUAGCCAGGAAGCAGCAUCCCAUAA